ensembl:snRNA U6 U6 spliceosomal RNA
AUCCUAUUUUUCAGCACACACACUAAAACUGGAAUGAUACAGAGAAGAUUAGCAGGGCCCCUGCACAAGGAUGACAUGCAAAUUCAUGAAGCGUUCCGUAUUUUU